rnacentral:rRNA from 1 species
GUAGGUGGCAAGCGUUGUCCGGAAUUAUUGGGCGUAAAGCGCGCGCAGGCGGUCCUUUAAGUCUGAUGUGAAAGCCCACGGCUCAACCGUCGGAGGGUCAUUGGAAACUGGGGGACUUGAGUACAGAAGAGGAAAGCGGAAUUCCAAGUGUAGCGGUGAAAUGCGUAGAGAUUUGGAGGAACACCAGUGGCGAAGGCGGCUUUCUGGUCUGUAACUGACACUGAGGCGCGAAAGCGUGGGGAGCAAACAGGAUUAGAUACCCUGGUAGUCCACGCCGUAAACGAUGAGUGCUAAGUGUUAGGGGGUUUCCCGCCCCCUUAGUGCUGCAGCUAACGCAUUAAGCACUCCGCCUGGGGAGUACGGCCGCAAGGCUG